GAGCCCAGAACACGCACCCAGGCUGCAGGAAGUCAUUUAUCCUUACAAGAUUUUCAGCGUCUAAACCCAAGAUGUCUAGGAACAUGCGGGAUAGAUGACCGCGGCUUCAGCGCACGCCACUGCGUAGCAGCAACCCAUCCCCUAGCAACUUUUGUUUCCAUGGCAAAAGCUGUCCUGUUUACGUUGAGCUUUACUAUCCCCCACUGAUCCACAGAGAUGUAACCGGACUGGCGAGCAGGCAGGAGGUGGUUAUGUACAUUCAGAUGGCCUUGGGAAAAACAGAUGGUCAGGUGUCUGGAGAAGGAGAAAACUAGGUCCACGCCCAAAGCAAGUGAGAAGUCCUGAGUGGUCUGAAUACUUCUACUGGUAAAGUCUGGGCAGGGUUAGAUUUAUGGCGCUGGGCUCUGUGUAAUUGUGACCCUGGUUUAUUAUCCAGGUAAUCAUGCACGUGAUGAAAUUCCCUGUUAUAAGGCAGUGCGGGGUAACUCCCUUGCUUUUUCCAAAUGAAUUAUCAGCCAAG
rnacentral:lncRNA from 1 species